rnacentral:rRNA from 1 species
GACGAACGCUGGCGGCGUGCUUAACACAUGCAAGUCGAACGGAAAGGCCCUGCUUUUGUGGGGUUCUCGUUUGGCGAACGGGUGAGUAACACGUGUGUAACCUGCCCUUGACUUUGGGAUAACUUCAGGAAACUGGGGCUAAUACCGUAUAGGAUCUCCUGCUGCAUGGUGUGGGUUGGAAAGUUUCGGCGGUUGGGGAUGGACUCGCGGCUUAUCAGCUUGUUGGUUGGGUAGUGGCUUACCAAGGCUUUGACGGGUAGCCGGCAUGAGAGGGUGACCGGCCACAUUGGGACUGAGAUACGGCCCAGACUCGUACGGGAGGCAGCAGUGGGGAAUAUUGCACAAUGGGCGGAAGCGUGAUGAAGAAACGCCGCGUGCGGGAUGACGGCCUUCGGGUUGUAAACCGAUUUAGACUGUGACGAAGCGUGAGUGACGGUAAUGGGUAAAGAAGCACCGGCUAACUACGUG